CAAGAAGCACCUGCACUGCUUGCUUUGCUAGGACCUCGAAACACACCACAAAAAAUUUAUCGCUUCACAGACUUUUAUGGCCAAGGGAUUGAAAUAUGCCAAACUGAGGGUUCAAGAGAUAACUCCUCAUGACGUUGCACACAUCAUUCCUGAAGCUUGUUUACAUGCUGCACAUAAGCUAUAAUAUAUUCGGUAAUAAGGUAUAAGGUAACAAGUGACUACAAAUCAUGGUAGGUUGAUGCAAAUUUAUACGUUUUUAAUACUUUUUUAUGCAAUUUUUAUACUUUUUUUGUAAUAUCCUGAGUGGCAGCACUGGAUUCUGCUUAAAUAAUUUCUCAUUAUUUUCCGCACAGCAAGAGUGAUGGCAAUACCUGGUAACCUAAUAAUGGUAAACCUGUCAUGUUCUUUGAUAUGCGUAAUAUAUUAUAGUUCGUAUUAUACGUACAUGUGCAUGCAACUCACAGUGUAUGCAGGGAUUUUAGUCGUAUGUAAAGCAGAAGUAGUGAUACUAAAUGAGCAUGUAAUAAGUUCCUAUCUACGCGCAUAUAUUAAUGCUUAACGUCUUCUUCUGAGUAUGUGACUGAGAAGUUAGUCAAUAUGUAAGUCUGAGCUUGUAUCAGACCUCCAGCCACAGUCACCUAAUGAAACUGCAAUUGUCACUUACAGAGUAUGCACAUCUUAUGUACAGGUUUAGGGAAAAUGCAUUGCUUGUAAUGUACAUGCAUGUGUUGUUAUCCAGGUGGCAUACGUCGACUUCAGGAGUGCGCCAUGAUGCACCUCUUGCUGAGUGGAAUCUUCAUCAAGACAGUUGGUGCCGUGGUCGUAGUUCUAGCCAGAGUGCGGAGUGUCUGAGCAGCUGAAAAGGGAUCUGUGGCAGGAGCUGUGCAGGAGAGCCUUUACGGAGUUACUGCAGCUGCAAGACAGCUAGUACAUGCUGGAGAUCAUGCAAUCAGAGAAUGGAAGAGGACAUACUCAGGAAUAGGUCAUUAAAUAAGGAAUAGGUUUCUAUGAAAAAGGUUACACACAUUACCUCCCUUAUAUAAUAAGAGAGCACUCAACGUUCUCAAUAUCCUGAUUUUCUGGAACACCAGGUUAAAUUACGUACAUUUUUCAUUGUCAUUGGCCAGCAGUGCUAUUUCAUAUGAGAACUAGUGUAUGAUGCUAAUCAAAAUAUAUCCAUAUAUAAUAUUGCUGAAACUAUACACCUGUGGUCAGCACGUACUCAGCAGUAGUGUGAUAUGAAAAAUGCUGAUACCAAUGAUUCACUUUCUUAAUUAUAAGGAGGUAAAUUUCUCACACCUCUUUAAAACGUGCAAUAUCGUAGAGGUCACCCAAGAAUAUUAACAUUGGUGUAGUAGACUGAUGGGUAAAGCAUUAUGUGCAAUGUUUGGUAAUUCAAUUUUUAGUAAAAACAAAACUUUCUAA